UGGGGAAUAUUGCGCAAUGGGCGAAAGCCUGACGCAGCCAUGCCGCGUGUGUGAAGAAGGCCCUAGGGUUGUAAAGCACUUUCAAUUGGGAAGAAAAGCUGUUGCUUAAUACGUAACAGCCCUGACAUUACCUUUAGAAGAAGCACCGGCUAACUCCGUGCCAGCAGCCGCGGUAAUACGGAGGGUGCGAGCGUUAAUCGGAAUUACUGGGCGUAAAGCGCGCGUAGGUGGUUUGUUAAGUCGGAUGUGAAAGCCCCGGGCUCAACCUGGGAACUGCACCCGAUACUGGCCGACUAGAGUACGAGAGAGGGAGGUAGAAUUCCAUGUGUAGCGGUGAAAUGCGUAGAUAUAUGGAGGAAUACCAGUGGCGAAGGCGGCCUCCUGGCUCGAUACUGACACUAAGGCGCGAAAGCGUGGGGAGCAAACAGGAUUAGAUACCCCCGUAGUCC
rnacentral:rRNA from 1 species